UACGUAGGGUGCAAGCGUUGUCCGGAAUUAUUGGGCGUAAAGAGCUCGUAGGCGGUCUGUCGCGUCGGCUGUGAAAUCCCGAGGCUCAACCUCGGGUCUGCAGUCGAUACGGGCAAGCUGGAGUGUUGCAGGGGAGACUGGAAUUCCUGGUGUAGCGGUGAAAUGCGCAGAUAUCAGGAGGAACACCUGAGGUGAAGACGGGUUGCUGGGCCGACACUGACGCUGAGUGCGCGAAAGCCAGGGGAGCAAACGGG
rnacentral:rRNA from 1 species